rnacentral:misc_RNA from 1 species
GCCUGCUUUCUCUUGUUUGGCGAGUGGGUUCUUUUUUCCAGCCACUACAUUGGUUUUUAUAUAGAUUUUGGUUGAUUAAGUAGCGGCCAAUUUACGGCAGGAGGUCUCAUGGCUACUAUGAUCUUUCAAUGUCCUUGUGUUUCUCUUUCUCUAUGUUUUGGAUUUUGCAUGCAGGUGGCUUGCUUCGAUUUUUUGGGGCUUUUGGGUAUUGGGGCAUGUUACUUAUGGCCAUGGCUGUGUCUUGGUUGUGGUUCAUUGUCGCGGUUGUGCUCUAAAGGAUUGAUAUGUUUAGUACGGUAUAUCUAAGAAUAGUUCACGCUGCAGAGCAGUAGCCUUCCUGUUCCUUUACAUAGUCGAUUUUAAGCUUUGCCUUACUCCUUUAGAGUCUAUUUGGAUGAGGGUGAAUCAAGGUUAAAUAAAGAUAGGAUAACUAAAUGAGUUUUGUAUCUUGUUUAAAAUGAAUGAAUAAAGGGUAAAUUUUACCUUUCUU